rnacentral:rRNA from 1 species
GGGAAGAGCUCAAAUUUGAAAUCUAGUAGCCUUCGGCUGCUCGAGUUGUAAUCUAGAGAAGUGUUUUCCGUGCCGGCCCAUGUACAAGUCCCUUGGAACAGGGCGUCAUAGAGGGUGAGAAUCCCGUCCUUGACAUGGACCCCCGGUGCUCUGUGAUACACUUUCAACGAGUCGAGUUGUUUGGGAAUGCAGCUCAAAAUGGGUGGUGAAUUCCAUCUAAAGCUAAAUAUUGGCGAGAGACCGAUAGCGAACAAGUACCGUGAGGGAAAGAUGAAAAGCACUUUGGAAAGAGAGUUAAACAGUACGUGAAAUUGUUGAAAGGGAAACGAUUGAAGUCAGUCAUGCUCUUUGGUAUUUAUAUCAUUGAGUGGGGUCAACAUCAGUUUUGAGCGAUGGAUAAAGGCACUAGGAAGGUAGCACUCUCGGGUGAACUUAUAGCCUAGCGUCAUAUACAUUGUUUGGGACUGAGGAACGCAGCAUGCCUUUAUGGCCGGGAUUCGUCCACGUACAUGCUUAGGAUGUUGACAUAAUGGCUUUAAACGACCCGUCUU